rnacentral:rRNA from 1 species
UACGUAGGUGGCAAGCGUUGUCCGGAUUUACUGGGCGUAAAGAGCGCGCAGGCGGUCGUUCAAGUCGCGUGUGAAAGCCCCCGGCUCAACUGGGGAGGGUCACGCGAUACUGAUCGACUCGAAGGCAGGAGAGGGUAGUGGAAUUCCCGGUGUAGUGGUGAAAUGCGUAGAUAUCGGGAGGAACACCAGUGGCGAAGGCGACUACCUGGCCUGUUUCUUGACGCUGGA